UCAUUUCUUUCUCUAUUCUCAGCGGAAGAAAAUUUCUAGGUUUUGACUUAUCAGUCAUAGAUUGAUCGAAGAAGGUGAAAGUUAGGUUUGAUCACCAAUUUCAGCGGUGAAACUUCCCAUAUGAAACUAGGGAUGUUAGGUUUUGACCUAGAUAAAAAUCUCCAAUAUGCAAAAAUAGAUUCUUCAUCGGCGCAAUCUUUUUCAAAAUCACAGAGUCAUCGUAUGGGAUUAGGGUUUGGAAGAGAGGGAUCUAAGCAAUGCAAACUAAUGGAGAGGCGAGAAAACCACCAACUCCAUCUCCUUUGGGUAACUCCAAAUUUUUUCAGUCAAAAUGCGAACUAUGGUUACCGGGAGAGCUGGAUUCAUUGGUUCUCACCUUUUUCAUCUUGAAUGGAGAAUGAGAAAAUGAGGUGCUGUAAGUGAGGCAAGUCGAAUGGCUCUCUGCUUAUUGCAAUCAGUGGAGGGCUAAAGCUAAACCAAUAAAGAACGAGGGCUUAGUGUGAGCAAACAUGGAUGAGAUAAUAGAAGAGAUGUCAAGAAGACCUCCAAUUCCCCAUCAAGCUGCAUCUGAAUCUGUGCAACGAAGGGAUAGUACUGUUGCAUCUCCGCCACAUCCACUUCCACCAUCUUCUCAACCUCAGGUCAGUGGAAGAAAGAAACGUAAGAGGACAUCUAAAGCAUGGAAGCACUUUGAGGAGAGUGUUGAUGCAGAGGGUAAUAAAUGGGUUGAAUGUAUCCACUACACAUAAGACCAAUUGAUAUGGACUCUUCUUCCGUUGGAGUUGAGGAGGACGAGGAUGAUGCCACUGAGUCAGUUGUUUUUCACCAACUGUGUGGACUUUCGGCAAAGCAAAGAAGAAUUCUCCAGGGAGAUGGUUUAAGCAGGGUACCACCUUCAGGUAUGAAGUUCCAUACAGCGAGCAUUGCAGCUUUACAGAACUAAGAGAAUUUGUGAAGUUCAUUUCUCAGCAGCACAUAAUACCAAGCGUGAAUAACAAUGGUCCUGGAUCCGCCUUUUCCAUGAAUGCUUUACUCAUUGCCUGAUUUUAUAACUUGCUUCACCGCCAAAGAAAAAGUUGAAACCUCUCAUUUCUACAUUUUCUGUUGUACCGUAGUAAAUCUGAAUCCGAUUGUUGUUAAACAGUGGUUUCCUUUAUUUGUUUCAAUCGUUUUUAGUUAAGUUUUGGAUUGAAGCGGGCGUUGGUUGUCGAGUUUUGAGUCACGUUUUCGGUUGUUGAGUUUUGAGUCACGUUUUCGGUCGAUUUCUUCGGUCGGCCGUCCCACCGUGGCAGCAGUCAUCUAGUAUUAUUUUUGGUAACCCUCAGUGCCCUAAUGUUGAAUGAUCUUUUUUAAGAGGGUAGUAUACAUUUCUGAUCUAAUUGCAACCGAUUAUACACUACUCUUGUCGUCUGAUCUCUAUAUUUUAGUUCCGAUUCGAUUUUUAUGUAUCUUGAAGUUAUGGUCAUUCUGAUGGUACGGGUUGUAGCUUUUUAUUUUCAAUAUUUUUUCCCUGAUUUAUGAAGCUUUUGUUUUAACAUUAGUUCCAGAUUUUCUAUUUUUUUUUUGAAAUUAUAUUUGACUGUGCAGACAGAUUGAAAGGACUUUAUCCUCCCGUCAGAAAUGGGAUUUGCAGGUUGCAAAUUUUAAAGAUGGUGAAUGGAAUCUUAAACAUUUUUAAAAAGAAGACUGCACCUAAAGAGGUACUUAGAGAGAAUAAACGAGAAAUAUCUACUGCCAGAGGAUAUUAAGAGGGGUUAGAUAGGAGGAAGAAAGGAUUCUAGCAAACAACUAUGUUCAAGUCACUUUUACAAAGACUUGGUGGGUUAUUUCUGGCCUAAUUCUGUCCGAUAGAGUCCAUUGGAUAGACAAAGACAAGCUUUGCUAGGUCUUCUAGAUUGUCAGGAUAAAAAGAAUGGAGGAAUGUCAGAUAGGCCAGAUGAUGCUUUUGAUAUUCUCCAUACAUAUUUUGGUGUCGAUGGUACUGGAAAAAGGAUUCCGCGAUAUGUAGGGGUUCUUCAUUGCCUUAGGAAGUACAUGAUCGUUUUCGUUUGAAAUGGAUGAAGUAUCAGGGAGGAAGCAUUAACCGAAUUGGUAGUCUUACAGUUGAAGUAAGAUGACCAGGAGAUGACUCUGUCCAUAGGUGAAGUUAUUAAAAACGAACCACAGGGCAAGGAAGCUCCUGUGCAGUCGCUGGCUGAUGAGGUCCUACUUUCUGUUCUCAUUUGAGAGGUCCAGAAGUAGUCACUCUUGGUUGUUCUAAUCAUUAUUAAGGUUACUACCUAUUUUCAUCUUCGUAACUGUUACAUGUAUAUUGUCCUGGUCUUUUGUUCCCCGCUAAUGGUACAAUUAUUAUCCCAAGUGGGACUUUCAAUUGUUGACGGGUAUUAAAACUUGCUGUUGUCUUUUGUGGACAAAGCAAUUGAUGAAGGCUUUAUUUCUCCAUCUGCUCGUUGCAUUAUUAAUUCCGCCUCAACGACCAAGCAAUUGGUAGAAGGACUUGAGGUAUAAUAGUUUAGGUAUUAUAUUUAUUGCAGAGGUCUACUAUAAAGCACACACUAAUCUGAAUUCAGUUUGAAAACAUCACUAUGUUCUCUAGAUAAUAUUCCCACUCCACCAUGGUCACCUUUAUAGCAUUCCUAAUAUUGUAACACAAAUAGCGUGUUAAAUCACACGUUGGAGUUGAAUACUAUCUGUUUCAGAAUGUGAUAAAGCGCGUCGUACAA